AGAAUUUGCAAGGCAUUACAGUAAAUACUGCAUGAAGAGUGUUUAGCAAAUGCUCAAACCCUGUUAGCAGUUAUUACCCAGCUCUAAUUAUAAAGUCAACUCUUCCGCCUCUCACAGGAGAGGAAAUGGAGGCUCAGAGCUCAGGCCCAGGGUCAGGGCCACACAAAGGAUGCAGACUCAGUCUGAAGCUCAAGUGGUCCAGGCCCCCUCCCCUGACUCCCAGGCUCUCUUCUCAGAAAGGGGCCAGAGCCCCCUGCCGGACCCGCAGGGACCCUCACAAGAGCCUUGCUUACCUGAGUGGGCUGGGGUCUUGUCCAGGACGAUGGAGGACCCCAAGUCGACUGUAACCCCGCCCACAUCAAUGUGGCCCCUCCCCACUUGACCAGUAGCCGGCUGGCUACCAACGCGGUCAGAAGGGGAGUGUCCCGACAGCUAUGUAGCUCAACCUUGUCACCACACAUACGAGAGACCAAGGACCCAAGGGGCAAGAUCAACCCUGUCAUGAUACCAGCAAGUCUCUGAAGGAUCAGGACAGUCCCCAUCGGCUCCUGAAAUAUAAAGGGACCAGAGGACCAGAGCAUGGCUUCAUUAUCAACACUGGCCUUGGAAAUGAGAGCACUCGUGUGUUUACAUGAGGAAUAAGCCAGAGGCUGGGAGUCUUUCUGAUCAUACUGCAUUGAGCAAGUGGGAGGAGUUCUGGUUUAUUUGCAUGAAUUGCUUUACUACUGGAGGAUAUUUGGUGAAGUUGCUGAGCUGGAAUCAGUCAUAUGAACACAUUGGCCUUUCUGCCUUUGGCUCUGCUGGGCUUGAAUGUCCCUGCAUUUUAUCUCACCUGAUUGCCUACCUUCUCUUCUUCUCUACGAUUCCCAGGAAGUUUAUCUGAAUUCAAAUAAA